rnacentral:rRNA from 1 species
CCUACGGGGGGCAGCAGUGGGGGAUAUUGCACAAUGGGGGAAACCCUGAUGCAGCGACGCCGCGUGGGUGAAGAAGUAUUUCGGUAUGUAAAGCCCUAUCAGCAGGGAAGAAAGAAGACGGUACCUGACUAAGAAGCCCCGGCUAACUACGUGCCAGCAGCCGCGGUAAUACGUAGGGGGCGAGCGUUAUCCGGAUUCACUGGGUGUAAAGGGAGCGUAGACGGCCGGGCAAGCCAGGAGUGAAAGCCCGGGGCCCAACCCCGGGACUGCACUUGGACCUGGGCGGCUGGAGUGCGGGAGGGGCAGGCGGAAUUCGUGGUGUAGCGGUGAAAUGCGUAGAGAUCAGGAGGAACACCGGCGGCGAAGGCGGCCUGCUGGACCGCGACUGACGUUGAGGCUCGAAAGCGUGGGGAGCGAACAGGAUUAGAUACCCGAGUAGUC